rnacentral:rRNA from 1 species
AAUAGAUACCCUGGUAGUCCUAGCCGUAAACGAUGACCACUAGGCGUGGGAGGUAUCGACCCCUUCUGUGCCGAAGCAUACGCAUUAAGUGGUCCGCCUGGGGAGUACGGCCGCAAGGCUAAAACUCAAAGGAAUUGACGGGGGCCCGCACAAGCGGCGGAGCAUGCGGAUUAAUUCGAUGCAACGCGAAGAACCUUACCAAGGCUUGACAUACACCGGAAUCACUCAGAGAUGGGUGCGUCUUCGGACUGGUGUACAGGUGGUGCAUGGUUGUCGUCAGCUCGUGUCGUGAGAUGUUGGGUUAAGUCCCGCAACGAGCGCAACCCUCGUUCUAUGUUGCCAGCACGUCAUGGUGGGGACUCAUAGGAGACUGCCGGGGUCAACUCGGAGGAAGGUGGGGAUGACGUCAAAUCAUCAUGCCCCUUAUGUCUUGGGCUUCACGCAUGCUACAAUGGCCGGUACAAAGGGUUGCGAUACUGUGAGGUGGAGCUAAUCUCAAAAAGCCGGUCCCAGUUCGGAUUGGGGUCG